ACACAGGGACUUUCCAAUUAUCCAGCAAUGGUACUGUUCCUUUACCCUCUCUUCGAUUUUGAGAAAGUAGUCAUGUUGGGAGUCUGGCUCUCGAGAUUCAGAGGACGGUGCCUCUUCGAUUUUGGAGCAAGCAAUCUUGUUGGGAGUGUUUUCUCGAAUGUGAGUAAAGGUUGGGCAUGUUUGCUAGUCUACCUUGCCACGAAGCACAGAGGUUGACACACAGGGACUUUCCAAUUAUCCAGCAGUGGUACUGUUCCUUUACCCUUGUGGGUAAUAAUAUGGUAGCUAGACCUUCAAAAUUUAUGUGUCUAAACUUUGUUAGUGCUGUUUCUUUGCUAUUCUUUUACCUUUCUUGGUCAGAGCGAUGUAGUGGGAGCUGCAAGCUUCACGUGCUCAACUUUGGCAGAGAACUUUGACAAAGUUAUCUGUGGUACCCAUAAGCUAUUGUUGCGUGUGGGAAGUGGGUAAUUGAACAGUAAGAUUCAUGUGCUUUCUACUUCACCAGAAAUCUUCGACAGAAUGCCCAUAAUUUCUGCAAAGCUGAGUGUGCGUGUGACAGGUGCUGACAAGGCUAGAAAAGUAGGUGCCUCUUCGAUUUCUGAGAUCGGCCCUCGUGGUCUCUGAGCAGCCCAGCUUUUGAGAAAGCGAGCGCCUCUUCGAUUGAUUCGGAGAACGAUGCCUCAUCGAUUUUUGAGAAAACAAUCAUGCUGGGGGUUUGGCUCUCGAAGAUUCGGGGAGCAGUGUCUCUUCGAUUUUUGAGAAAGUAAUCAUGUUGGGAGUCUGGCUCUCGAGAUUCGGAAGGCGGUGCCUCUUCGAUUUUGGAGCAAGCAAUCUUGUUGGGAGUGUUUUCUCGAAUGUGAGUAAAGGUUGGGCAUGUUUGCUAGUCUACCUUGCCACGAAGCACAGAGGUUGACACACAGGGACUUUC
rnacentral:lncRNA from 1 species